CGGCGGACGGGUGAGUAACACGUGGAUAACUUACCUAUAAGACUGGGAUAACUUCGGGAAACCGGAGCUAAUACCGGAUAAUAUAUUGAACCGCAUGGUUCAAUAGUGAAAGACGGUUUUGCUGUCACUUAUAGAUGGAUCCGCGCCGCAUUAGCUAGUUGGUAAGGUAACGGCUUACCAAGGCAACGAUGCGUAGCCGACCUGAGAGGGUGAUCGGCCACACUGGAACUGAGGCACGGUCCAGACUCCUACGGGAGGCAGCAGGG
rnacentral:rRNA from 1 species